GAGACUCUGUGCGCGUGCAUAUCAAUAAGCGGAGGAAAAGAAACUAACUAGGAUUCCCUUAGUAACGGCAAGUGAAGCGGGAAGAGCUCAAAUUUGAAAUCUUCAAGGUUCUACCUUGACGAAUUGUAGUUUAUAGAAGUGUUUUCUGUUAGUGGAGUGGCUAAAAGUUCUUUGGAAUAGGACAUCAUAGAGGGUGAGAAUCCCGUAUUUGGUCAUUCCUUCCUAGCUUUGUGAUACACUUUCAACGAGUCGGAUUGUUUGGGAAUGCAGUCCAAAAUGGGUGGUAAAUUUCAUCUAAAGCUAAAUAUUGGCGAGAGACCGAUAGCGAACAAGUACCGUGAGGGAAAGAUGAAAAGAACUUUGAAAAGAGAGUUAAACAGUACGUGAAAUUGUCAAAAGGGAAGCGUUUGACACCAGUGUUGUUUUUCCGAAAAUCAAUUAUGAAUGGCUUGAUUUUAAGUUUCAUGACCUUAAAAGCUUGUUUCUUAUUUUUCAUGUCUUUCGUAAUGCACUCUUCGGUUAACAAGUCAACAUCAAUUUCUUUUGUUGUAAAAGGUAAAGAGAAAGGUGGCUUUACUUUCGGGUAAAGUGAUUAUAGCCUUUUAACUCUGCAAUUGGAGAGAUUGAGGUCUGCAGCGUAGAUCCUUCGGGGUUAGAUACAUUUGUGCUAAGUUAUAGCUUUUCAUAGACAACUUGUUGACUAUGUUAAGUCUUGUAAUUUACUCGCAGAUGCUAUUUUACCUACGCUUAGGAUGUUGAAGAUGUAGCACAUCAU
rnacentral:rRNA from 1 species